rnacentral:rRNA from 1 species
AACGUUCCAUAGGUGAACCUGCGGAAGGAUCAUUA